CUGGGAAGUGUAGUCCGGAACGGAGGCGGCGUUCAGAAAUAGGGCGCUGGCUUUGCCAGGAGCGGCUCCUCUCCAAGCCUGGCGGUCACUGCCCUGUGUCCCCUUUUGGGCCUCUCCUGGUCCUCCUGGUUGGAUUAGGAGGCCUCUCAGCCCGGAGUCUGGGUCGCCGAAGUACAGGCCCCUUCACUGAAGCGACCCACGGCGCAGGGGUUUCUGGAAGCCAUCGCCAGGCUCCGAGUGUUCAGAUGCAGCUGCCAGGCUCAGGACGCAGAGAACUGGCUUCCAGCUCGCAGGAGCGCCUGUCCGUGGUGGGUAGGGUCGCAGGCGUGGGGUGUGCAGGAGCAGUGGGACAGCACUGAAACGCAGUCGGUAAGGCGUAGCGGCUACCCUCUGGAGAGGAAAACCAUGACAGGGCGGGGCUUGGGGCGCGGGCGGGGCCUACGCGAUAGAAAAGUGAGGAGAUUGGGAUUUGUCUGCUUUGCACACUUGUGACUUUCUGAUGGUGCGCGUGUGGAACCUGUUUUAUUUCAUGCCUACUAGUUACUGCUCUCUGAUAUACGGUACGCCCCUCACCUCCCCCCACCCCAUUUUAUCUCUCCCUGCUGGAAGGAGGGUUCCAAGAAGGCACACAGCUUCCGUCCUGUUCAGGGUUAUAUUCUCAGUGACUAAAACAGCACAUAGUAGGUGCUUAGUUUUUUAUUUUUAUUUUAUUUUUUAGGAAAUCACGAAAUCUAGCAUUGCCAGUCUCACCAUGACACAACAUGUUAUAGGCUGAAUAUGUCCUCCCAAAAUUACUAUGGUGAAACCCUAACCCCUAGUGUGAUGACGUUAGGAGGUGGGACUUUGGGGAGGUAACUGGUUUUAGAUUAGGUCAUAAGGGUGAUACCCUUAUGAUGGGGUCAGUGCACUUAUUAAAAAAGAGGAAGGAGGGGUCUCCAUGUUUACACAACCACCAAGCAAAGGCCAUGUGAGGACACAGCAGGAUGUAACCCAUUUGCAAGCCAACGGGGCCCUCACCAAGAACUGAAUGUGCCAGCACUUUAACUUCCCAGCCUCCAGAAUUGUGAAAAAUAAAGUCUCUUAGUCAAGUCA
ensembl:lncRNA ZNF470-DT ZNF470 divergent transcript